AGGUAUGUAUAGGUGACACUAGAAAGAGGAUUAUUUCUUGCUGGAGCUUUAAACUGGCAGCCCAUUGUGGACUCUUUUGAGAGAUAUUGUGGAUUCUCCCUCAAGAACCAUCUGGACAUAAUCCUGUGCCAUGCACUAUUAGAUGACCCUGCUUGAGCCAGCAACUAGCAGCAGGACAAGAGGAAACAGCCUCAAGCAAUUGCAGGGAAGAUUCUGGUUGGAAAUUAAGAAUAAUUUUUUCACAGAAAAGGCUGUCAAGCGUUGGAACAGGCUGCACAAGGACAUGAUGGAGUCACCAUCCAUGGAGGUGUUCAAAAAGCAACUGGAUAUGGCCCUGGUCUGGUUGACAAAGUGAUGACUGGUCAAAGGUUGGAAUCACAGAAUCACAGAAUAAGCUGAGUUUGAAGAGAGCCACAAGGAUCAUCGUCUGACUCCCUGCACAACACCAUCCCCAAGAGUCACACCAGGGGCCCAAGAGUGGUGUCCAAAUUUUCCUUGAACUUUGUCAGGCUUGGUGCUGUGACCGCUUCCCUGGGGAGCUGUUCCAGUGCCCAAGCACCCUCUGGGUGAAGAACCUUUUUCUGACACCCAACCUAAGCAUCUCCUUACACAGCUUCAGGCCAUUCCUUCAAGUCCUGUCAUUGCUCACCACAGAGCAGGGGUCAGUGCCUGCCCCUCCUCUUCCCUCAUGAGGAAGCUCUAACUGCAGUGAUGUCUCUCCUAAAUGUCCUUUUCUCCAGGCUGAACAGACCAAGUGACCUCAGCCUCUCCUCGUUGAGCUUCCUCUUGAGACCCUUCAGCAUCUUUGUUGCUCUC